UAUUCUCGCCCCAAACUGGUUGCUCCGCCGCAUCCAAACGUUCAAUCAACACUCGCGCUAUUUUCUUUAAAAACCGCUCUUCCACAGAGUUUUAUAGUUAUUCUAGUAUUAUUGUGGAGCGAUAACUGGUAUUUCUUACUAUUAUUGCUCAAUACGUGAACGAAGUGAAGCUUCAUUCGGUAGAAAGCAGCACGUGGACCGCGGCGCUCCACCUGAGGACAGGUGUGUCUGGGGGGAGUGAGGAUGAACACCUCCCGGACCAGCAGCUGAUCACAGAAUCACGCUUGUUUGUGAUCUUUAUGAAUGUAAUGUGUAAACACAGUGUUUACAAAAUGCUCCACUGUUGAUAUAAAUACGUUUUCUUUAGGUUUCGAUUCUGUUCAUGCACUUUAUGAGAGUGAUGACGUCAUCGUAGCUGCAUUCUGCCUCUGCUUUGCUCCGUGCGCGUGCACGCUUCGCCGCGUGUGCCAGCUGAGAGGAGGAGUUUUCCCUUGGAUGUUCAGUGUGCGCUGAUGGACCAAAGUGGACAGAUGAUUGCAGCAGAUGAAGACUGAUGAGAAACAUCAACCUGCUGGUGCUGAAGCUGCAGGAUGGAAACCAGCAGCUCCUCUUCUCUGUUGAAGUGUGAGAGGACUGAUGAGAAAACUGUUGAGGUCCAGACAAAGUUAUUCCUGCGCAGGAAAUCCACACAGAUGCUGAAACUCUGACCAGAGGUGAUAAAUGAGCAUCAACGCUGAAGAUUUUCACAAUAAAAGAGCCAGACUCAAAUGUG